rnacentral:rRNA from 1 species
AUCGAACGCUGGCGGCAGGCCUAACACAUGCAAGUCGAGCGAGCGGCGGACGGGUGAGUAAUGUCUGGGAAACUGCCUGAUGGAGGGGGAUAACUACUGGAAACGGUAGCUAAUACCGCAUACCAUCAGAUGUGCCCAGAUGGGCGUAGAUAGUAGGUGGGGUAACGGCUCACCUAGGCGACGAUCCCUAGCUGGUCUGAGAGGAGGACCCGCCACAUGGGAACUGAGACACGGUCCAGACUCCUACGGGAGGCAGCAGUGGGGAAUAUUGCACAAUGGGCGCAAGCCUGAUGCAGCCAUGCCGCGUGUGUGAAGAAGGCCUUCGGGUUGUAAAGUACUUUCAGCGGGGAGGCGUUACCCGCAGAAGAAGCACCGGCUAACUACGUGCCAGCAGCCGCGGUAAUAC